ACCUCUUUCGGCAGGAACGAUUGUGACGGUACCUGCAGAAGAAGCACCGGCCAACUAUGUGCCAGCAGCCGCGGUGAUACAUAGGGUGCAAGCGUUAUUCGGAUUUAUUGGGCGUAAAGAGCUCGUAGGCGGUUCAACAAGUCGGGUGUUAAACCCCCAGGCUCAACCUGGGGCCGCCACCCGAAACUGUUGUGACUAGAGUUUGGUAGGGGAUCACGGAAUUCCUGGUGUAGCGGUGGAAUGCGCAGAUAUCAGGAGGAACACCAGUAGCGAAGGCGGUGAUCUGGGCCAAUACUGACGCUGAGGAGCGAAAGCGUGGGGAGCGAACAGGAUUAGAUACCCUGGUAGUCCACGCCGUAAACGGUGGGCACUAGGUGUGGGGACUUUUCAACGGUUUCCGCGCCGCAGCUAACGCAUUAA
rnacentral:rRNA from 1 species